UGUAUUUGAAAGUAUAUAAAUAUGGGGUGGGAAACUCAUUUCAGUUAAGGGGCCACAUACUGCCCACUUUGAUCUAAAGUGGGCCGGACCAGUAACAUCAUAGCAUAAUAACCCACAGGCCCUACAUAACGACAAUAUUUCUGUUUAAGUGCAAAUAAGUAGCUACAAGUACAUUCGGAAAAUGUCCACAUGUAAUGAGACGCAAAACGUUAUGAACAAACUGAAAUGUACUGUAUUAAGACAAACAAGUGCAAUUUCAAGUGCUACACACAUGUUCUUUACAACAGAUCACAGUUUCCACCUGAA